GACGAACGCUGGCGGCGUGCCUAAUACAUGCAAGUUGAGCGCUGACGGUUGGUACUUGUACCAACUGGAUGAGCAGCGAACGGGUGAGUAACGCGUGGGGAAUCUGCCUUUGAUCGGGGGACAACAUUUGGAAACGAAUGCUAAUACCGCAUAAAAACUUUAAACACAAGUUUUAAGUUUGAAAGAUGCCAUUGCAUCACUCAAAGAUGAUCCCGCGUUGUAUUAGCUAGUUGGUGAGGUAAAGGCUCACCAAGGCGAUGAUACAUAGCCGACCUGAGAGGGUGAUCGGCCACAUUGGGACUGAGACACGGCCCAAACUCCUACGGGAGGCAGCAGGAGGGAAUCUUCGGAAAUGGACGAAAGUCUGAACGAGCAACGCCGCGGGAGUGAAGAAGGGUGUCGGAGCGGAAAACUCUGUUGGUAGAGAAGAACGUGGGUGAGAGUGGAAAGCUCAUCAAGUGACGGUAACUACACAGAAAGGGACGGCUAACUACGUG
rnacentral:rRNA from 1 species